GUUAUUGUUUAUUUGAUACAACAAAUGGAUAACUGUAGAAAAACUAGAGCUAAUACAUGCUUUAAUCGUAAGAUUGUAUUUAUUAGAUAUUCUGAAUUGGUGAAUCAUAAUAACUUCGCAAAUCUCGUUUAUGACGAGAUAAAUCAUCCAAGUUUCUGCCCUAUCAUGCUUUCGAUGGUAGUGUAUUGGACUACCAUGGCUCUCACGGGUAACAGGGAAUUAGGGUUCGAUUCUGGAGAAGGAGCCUGAGAAACGGCUACUACAUCUACGGAAGGCAGCAGGCGCGUAAAUUACCCAAUCCUGACUCAGGGAGGUGGUGACAAGAUAUAACGACGCGGUUAUUAUCGCGAUUGUAGUGAGGGUAUUCUAAACAGAACCUAUAGUACGAUUAGAGGGCAAGUCUGGUGCCAGCAGCCGCGGUAAUUCCAGCUCUAAUAGCGUAUAUUAAAGUUGCUGCAGUUAAAAAGCUCGUAGUUGGAUUUCAAGGAUUGUAGAACCUCCACGGGGAUACAUCCUACUAGUCUUCGGACUGUUACUGUGAGAAAAUUAGAGUGUUUCAAGCAGGCUUUCGCAAGAAUACAUUAGCAUGGAAUAACGAAUGUAUUUAGAAUCUUGGUUAAUUCUAAAUUACGAUUAAUAGAGACAGUUGGGGGCAUUAGUAUUUAAUUGUCAGAGGUGAAAUUCUUGGAUUUGUUAAAGACUAACGUAUGCGAAAGCAUUUGCCAA
rnacentral:rRNA from 1 species